UACCUAUUUUUAUUAAAAAUAACAUCGGGGCGGGGAAGGAGGGGGGGUGUGGGAUGUCCCGCGAGCAGCCGCACCGCGUUGUGCCCCCCCCAUUCCCAUCCCGAUCCCAUUCCCAUUGCCAUCACUAUUCCCGUUCCCAUCCCUAUUCCCAUUCCCAUCCCCAUUCCCGUCCCAUUCCCGGUGCCCCGGGCUCCCGGCAGGUUCCCACGGUGCCGCCCGCCCCCGGGCCGCCCCCCGAUCCCCCCCCGGGGACGGGGCACCCCCUCCCGCCCUGCUCCGCUCCCUCCGUCUCUCUCCUUAAUUUUCUUUUAUUUUCCCUUUCCUUCCCCCCACCCCCCACCUAUUUAUUCUCCAUUUUGUUUUGUUUUGGCGUUUCUUCCUGGUUUGGUGUGGUUUGUUUUUAUUCUUCUUUUUUUAUUUAUUUUUUUUCCAUUCUUCCCUUCUCUCCCUUCCCCGGACGAAGGCGGAAUUCCCGGUGCCCGCGGAGGGGAGCGGAGCGGGGCUCGCAGCCCCCAGCCCCACACGGGGCACUGCCCCCCCUCCCGGGAUGCAGGUAGGACGGGGAGGGGGGAAGGAAUCUGGGGCUGGGGGAGGCUCUCUGGAGGCGUGGGAGGCGAAGCAAAGCGAUGCCCCCCACCCCCAGCGCAUCUCCCCCGUUUUGGGGGGCUGCCAAGGCGUGGCGGGUGGGGGACACUCACCCCUUCGCUGCCAACCCAGCUCUCGACUUUGCCCCCACAGGCCAUGCUGGACCCCCAUCCCCAUCUGCUGGGACCCCCAAAAUCCUCUUUUUUUCCCCCCACAACCCCCCCUCCCCACCGUACUCCCCAUCCUUAGCCGGGGGGUGCUGUGCAUCCUUUCCGCCCGCUGUUUCUAACGUGCUUACUACACGUUUUCAGGGUGUUUUUGGAGCUAUAUUUAAAGCGUGCAGUCAGUGGCUGGAUUUAGAAAUCCAGGCAUAAAUCACAUUAAAACGCGGACGGCGACGAUCCCAGCGCGUCGGCAAAGCUUUGCCCUGAUUUCAUUCCUUCCCCCUGCCCAUCUUAAAAGCAGAACUGAGUCUGACAGCGAGGUCCCAUCCCCCCCAAAUAAAACCCUGUAGGGACAGAGGUGGGAUUGGAAGGCAAGGGGGGCUCUGCUGGGGUUUAUUCCGAUGCAUCCAUGGUGAUUUAUUCAUCGAUGGGGGGCUUGGGUAAUUCCAAAGCCUGGGGUCUCUCCCCACCCCAGCCCCUGUGCCCGCAGUGAAGGAGCUGCCAUCCCUGGGGAGGGGGCUGUGGAGUGGGGGGGGUCCCAGUGAGGAGAUCCCCAGGGAAACGGUUUGGGAACUGAGCGAAGAAUUUCUGAUUAAUGACCAGAACAGCUCGGGAUUUCGGUUUUCUCCAUAAAUCCUGGCUGAUUAUAAGCCUUGUGCUCAGCCUGGCAGCGGGCUUUGCGUGGAGGGGGGAGCCCAAGAAACGAGCCCCAGCAGGGGCUGGGGGCUGCAGCAUCCUCACCAGCCCAGCCAGAGCAGGGAGAGGGGCCAGGGGGUGCCCUCCCCCCCGUUCACAGCAGCUCUGGGGUUUGUAAAGCCAAACGUCCCAGACCAGGCUGGUUUUGAGUCCAAAUACAGGCUGAUGGGGUUUUUUCCUUGCCUGGCACAGGAGGGUGGGUGUUUAUGCACAAUCCCACCCUGUUUUCCUGCUCUGCCACCUGUGCACUCACUUCCACCCAAAAUCCUGAGCUGGGACCCCCCCCGUGCCAGGACCUGCCCCAUGCUGGGUGCCCUUUGCUUUCUUCAACAUCCACCAAGCCCCUCUACUGGGCUUUUUCACAGCUAGACUGGCUCUUGGAUACGUCAGACUGGAUUUUUUUUUUUUCCCUUUUACCCAAUAAUAAGCUUUUUUCAUCCAAGAUCAGGGGGAAAAAAUAGGCAGGGAGGAGGGCUGACAUUCACAACCCAUAGAGAGCUUUGAGAGGAGCACCAACCCCAAAGCUGUAAUUACUGCCUGCAUUUUUUGGCUACAGAUCAACUGCUAAAUUGGUUGUAAGGCACGGAAACGGCAGUUACACCUUUCAGAGGAAAAAAUGUGGUUUAGUGGAGAAACGUGCAUGGGAAACCUCCCCAAAACUGCAGUCCCCAUACAACACCCCGCUAUUACAGGUUCUGCAUUUGGGAGUUUAAAACAACCCUCCAUCCAGGUGAGCUGAGCUCAUAAUGACAAGACCUUCUGCAUCAACCGAGUAAAUUGGGGAUUUUUCCCUUGAUCUGUCAGUUAAAUCAAAAAUACCCUCCUGGACGCAGGACAUGAGCAAGAGAGAGGCAGGAGCAUGUGCUAUUUUAAGGUUUGAUAUAAAAUAGAUACCCUUGGCUCCAGCAUUUCUCCACAUCCCAGCCCACUGGAGCUGCAGGUACUUUCGUAUGCAUACAAAACAUUCUAAAAUGGAAAAUAUUCACAGCUGCUCUCGCUGUUUUGACAGGGGGGAAGGAAUCGCGGGGCAUGUUAAGGAGAUAUUAAAAGCUGUGGUUUGAAGCUCCUAAAGCAUUUACUCAGCGGGAGAGCCAGAGAAAGAAGUUUAGAAGUUAACUGCAUACUUGUGUGCCUUUGCUCUGUCCUUCUUAAAAUUCACCUCUCCUAUCUGCUUCUAAUUUAAACAAGCAGAGCCCUCCAGGAACUGGAAAAUCCAGAUUUGCAGCAUCUCCCAGGGAAAGAUGAUUUCCUACGUGCCCCCCCCCAGCGUGAGGGUCCUGCUGAAGGUUAAACUCAGCCAGACGUGGAUUUCACCUCCUCUGCCAGCACUGAAUGCUCAUCCCCACACCGUGCCCUGGCCUCCUUCAGCUUCCCUGCCUGCACACAGGGCAAACCCAUCCACCUCCCCGGGGUGCAUUAGGGUGGCUUAAAAUUAACACUCACAAAUGUAUUUUCAAAUCCCUUCAUGAAAGGCAUGAGAAGCUCUGGGUGUUAGCAGAGUAGAUCCUUCACCUUUUAACAGCUGUUAAUUGCCAUUAAAACCAAACCUGCACAGCUUUAUUGGAGCAGCAUCUGAGAUUCCGUGUCGCAUGCCGCACGUUGCGGAGCCCGUGUCCGCCCUCGGCCGUGCCCUCCUGCACGUGCUGGCUGCCAGCACGAGCUGUGGUGGAGAAAUCCCAUCUCACUGCUGGUUAUCUUGCGCUUUGGGGCCUUUUGGAGGGUUUCCUGGUGCCAGGUUUUUUCCUUCGCCGUCCUGUGAGUCGUCGCAGCAGUUGCAAGAAGCUCAAUACACCUUCUCUCGACUCGCAGUGGGAAGGAAGAUGGGAUGCAAGACUUGUUCCCAAAAAUACCUCGAGGAAGCAAGCAGGAGCCUGCCCUCGAGGAACUGGGUCCCUGAGGCUGAAUCCAGCCGGCAGCUGCCAGCAAAAGCACGUGCUGGGUGUCACAGGGAUGGGAACAGCUCUCUGUGACCAGUGUGGGGUAAAUCAACAGGCAGGGCUGGGGAAAGGCUGCCAGCACUGCUCCCCUGCCAUCCACCGUGCUGGGGGGUCCCUCCCUGCUGCCUUUGGGGGUUCAUUGACCUGAUCCCUUCCAUGGCAUCCCCUCAUCACGCUACAGCCCAGAUCUGGCAGGGGGAAACCCUUGUGGAAACGCUAUGGAAGGAAUUCUCCCGCUGUCCCUGAAGCCACUGGCUCCUCACAUCCCUCACAGGUGCUUCGUGCGCUCCCAAACAUCCAGACCCACCCUGUGCCCCCAAACUGCAGGUGCUAGAACACAGGAGGAGGAUUCAGCAGGGCUCUGUGGCUCCCAGCAUCUUGUGAGCCCCCAGGGUUUCCUCUCCCAGCACAAGGAGGGGGUGUCCAGGGCUGGCUCCCAGGGCUAUCCCAUCUCUGUUCCCAUCACCCAGCCCUCUGCGUGGGGGAAGGGGGCAUUGGACAAGACCAGCCCUUUCUGCUCCACAAAGCUCGUCAGCCAGCAGCGCUGGGCUUAUAAUUAUUAUUUCCUUAAAGACGAGCCGAGCAGCUAUAGACAAAAAAGUCCCCUCUUGUCGGAGCUGGAAUUUGAUGUCCUAACGACUGUUUUUGUACCGCGCCUGUUAGAGGAAAGAGCUCGGCAGGAGGGGGAAAGAGAGAUUUAAUUAUAGAGCUGCAUUGUGAUUUUGCACACAUAGCUGGCUGUUGUAAUCAGGUUACAAGUGUAUCUGAUUUUCUUCCCUCCCCUCCCUCUUCCUCCUCUUUCUCUUUCUUUUCUUUUUUUUUUUCUCCUCCCCCUUUUUCCUUUCGGUGGUCCAAAUUAGUUGCUUAUGUUUGGGUGUUGCAGAGAGGAGCUGUUAUUUGCUUUCAGUGAAGAUCUUGAUCUAGGGAACAGUGUUUCCAAAGAACCUCGGCAGCUCUUUGCUGAUGGAAGGCAAAGGUUCCCAGCUCCAGCAGAAACCCAAACCCACAGAGCUGUGCUGGGCACUCGCAUCCCACCCUCCCAGGGCUCCCUUCCCACCACCAAAUUAAGGGGAGACACCCAUAUAUAUAUAUUAAAAAAAAAAUAAAA